rnacentral:rRNA from 1 species
UACGAAGGGGGCUAGCGUUGCUCGGAAUUACUGGGCGUAAAGGGAGCGUAGGCGGAUAGUUCAGUCAGAGGUGAAAGCCCAGGGCUCAACCUUGGAACUGCCUUUAAUACUGGCUAUCUUGAGUUUGGGAGAGGUGUGUGGAACUCCGAGUGUAGAGGUGAAAUUCGUAGAUAUUCGGAAGAACACCAGUGGCGAAGGCGACACACUGGCCCAAUACUGACGCUGAGGCUCGAAAGCGUGGGGAAGCAAACAGGG